GAUGAACGCUGGCGGCGUGCCUAAUACAUGCAAGUCGAGCGAACAGACGAGGAGCUUGCUUCUCUGACGUUAGCGGCGGACGGGUGAGUAACACGUGGAUAACCUACCUAUAAGACUGGGAUAACUUCGGGAAACCGGAGCUAAUACCGGAUAAUAUAUUGAACCGCAUGGUUCAAUAGUGAAAGACGGUUUUGCUGUCACUUAUAGAUGGAUCCGCGCCGCAUUAGCUAGUUGGUAAGGUAACGGCUUACCAAGGCAACGAUGCGUAGCCGACGUGAGAGGGUGAUCGGCCACACGGGAGCGGAGACACGGUCCAGGCUCCUACGGGAGGCAGCAGUAGGGAAUCUGCCGCAAUGGGCGAAAGCCUGACGGAGCAACGCCGCGUGAGUGAUGAAGGUCUUCGGAGCGUAAAACUCUGUUAUUAGGGAAGAACAAAUGUGUAAGUAACUAUGCACGUCUUGACGGUACCUAAUCAGAAAGCCACGGCUAACUACGUG
rnacentral:rRNA from 1 species